UCAGGUAGGACUACCCGCUGAACUUAAGCAUAUC
rnacentral:rRNA from 1 species